AUUGAACGCUGGCGGCAGGCCUAACACAUGCAAGUCGAGUUCGCGGCGGGCGGGUGCGUAUUGUCUGGGAAACUGUCUGUUGGAGAGGGAUAACAACUGGAGACGGUGGCUAAUAACGCAUACCCUCAGAUUUGCCCCGAUGGGAUGAGCUAGUAGGUGGGGUAACGGCUCACAUAGGCGACGAUCCCUAGCUGGUCUGAGAGGUUGGUCAGCCACACUGUAACUGAGACACGGUCCAGACUCCUACGGGAGGCAGCAGUGGGGAAUAUUGGACAAUGGGCGCAAGCCUGAUGCAGCCAUGCCGCGUGUGUGAAGAAGGCCUUCGGGUUGUAAAGCACUUUCAGCGGGGAGGCGUUACCCGCAGAAGAAGCACCGGCUAACUACGUGCCAGCAGCCGCGGUAAUUC
rnacentral:rRNA from 1 species